UUGUCCCUGGCUCAGGACGAACGCUGGCGGCGUGCCUAAUACAUGCAAGUCGAGCGAAUCAAUAGGAGCUUGCUCCUGUUGGUUAGCGGCGGACGGGUGAGUAACACGUGGGCAACCUGCCUGUAAGACUGGGAUAACACCGGGAAACCGGUGCUAAUACCGGAUAAUCCUUUUCCUCUCAUGAGGAAAAGCUGAAAGUCGGUUUCGGCUGACACUUACAGAUGGGCCCGCGGCGCAUUAGCUAGUUGGUGAGGUAACGGCUCACCAAGGCGACGAUGCGUAGCCGACCUGAGAGGGUGAUCGGCCACACUGGGACUGAGACACGGCCCAGACUCCUACGGGAGGCAGCAGUAGGGAAUCUUCCACAAUGGACGAAAGUCUGAUGGAGCAACGCCGCGUGAGCGAUGAAGGCCUUCGGGUCGUAAAGCUCUGUUGUUAGGGAAGAACAAGUACCGGAGUAACUGCCGGUACCUUGACGGUACCUAACCAGAAAGCCACGGCUAA
rnacentral:rRNA from 1 species